rnacentral:tRNA from 1 species
GGGAAAGUAGCUCAGUGGUAGAGUGCUUGCCUUGAAUGCAUGAGGCCCUGGGUUCAAUUCCUCAGUACCA